rnacentral:rRNA from 1 species
GUUAGAUAAUUUGAAUUAAGAAAAAUUAAUAAAUAUAUAUAUAUAUAUAUAUAAUUAUAAAAUAAAUUGAUUUUAAUUUAAAAUAAUAAAAAAAUUUUAAGUUAUAGUAAUAUUAAUUGAAAAAAUUUAUUUUUAAAUAAUGAAAGUAAAUAAAUUGAUAUUUUUAAAUUUUUAAAAAGGUAAAUUUAUUUUUGUAUCUUUUGUAUCAGAGAUAAUUAAAAUAAAAUAAUAAAUUAAUUAUUUUCUCGAAUUUUUAUGAAAUAAUUUUAAAUUUAAGUUAAUGUUGAAUAAUUAUUUAUAAUUUAAAAUUAGUAAUGAAAAGUUUUUCAAAUAAAAUGAUAUCUAGUUUUUUUUAAAAUUAAUUUAAUUAAUAAAAUAAAUUUAAAUAAAAAUUUAAUUUAAAUAAAUUAAUUUAUUUUAAAAAUAUUAUGGGAUAAACUUUAAUAUUAUUUAUAAUAAUUGAAAUUUAUAUUUAUAAUAAAAAAUAUAAUAAAUAAUUUUAAUUUUUAAAAAAUUUGUAAUAAUUUAUUAAAUAAUUAUUUUAUAAUUUAAAUAAAUUAUUUAAUUUAAUAAAAAAAUAAUUUAAUUAAUUAAAAUUUUUAUGAAAUAAUGAUUAUAUUAGUAAAUAUUUAUAUAAAUGAUAUAAAUUUAUUUUAUAUUAAAUAAAAUUUAUGAAUUUAGCAAUAUAGAUUAUUCAAAUGUAUAUUAAAAACAUUGUUUUUUGUUUAUAUUAAAAAAUAAGAUCUACUCAAUGAAUAAUUUAAAUAGUUGCAAUAUUUUAAUUGUACAAAGGUAGCAUAAUCAUUUGAUUUUUAAAUGGAAUCUUGUAUGAAAGAUUAAAUGAAAUAAUAACUUUAUUAAUUUUAAAAAAUUAAAUUUAAUAAUUAAGUUAAAAGGCUUAAAUAAUUUUUUUAGACGAGAAGACCCUAUAGAAUUUUAUUAAUUAAAUAUUAUUAGUUUAAUAUUAUUUAUUUAAUUUAAUUGGGGAAAUAAUAAAAUUUAAUAAAUUUUUAUAAAUUAAUCAAUAAUUUUUGAUAAAAAAAUAUAAAUUUAUAUUUAUAUUAAGAUAAAUUACCUUAGGGAUAACAGUAUAAUAAUUUUUUUAAGUUCAUAUUAUUAAAAUUGUUUAUAACCUCGAUGUUGAAUUAAGAUAAAAUAUAAAUGAAAAAAUUUAUUAUUUAAGUUUGUUCAACUUUUAAAAUCUUACAUGAUUUGAGUUGAGAUCGGCGUGAGCCAGAUCAGAUUUUAUCUAAAAUUAAAUUAAUUUUAAUUGUACGAAAGGAAUUUAAAAUUUAAUAAUAUUAUAAAUAUAAGAAUUAAAUUAAUUAAUUGAGUAAAUGAAAUUAUUAAAAAUUUCAAAAGUAUAAAAAAUU